rnacentral:antisense_RNA from 1 species
CUUCACCGAUCCGACGUACAGCGGCCGGUCGCGGUCCUGGCCGUAGGUGGCCAGCAGCGCCUGUGCCUC